GAAGGAAUUGGAAUGGAAUAAGAUCGAUUCAUACAGAAGAAAAGGUUCUCUAUUGAUUCAAACACUGUACCUAUGGGAUAGGGAUAGAGGAAGAGGAAAAAACCGAAGAUUUCACAUAGUACUUUUGAUCGAAAAAUCAAUCAGAUUGAUUUCGUACCCUUCGUUCAAUGAGAAAAUGGGUCAAAUUCUACAGGAUCAAACCUAUGGGACUUAAGGAAUGAUAUAAAAAAAAAGAGAGGGAAAAAUAUUAAAUAAAAAUGAAGUAGAAGAACCCAGAUUCCAAAUGAACAAAUUCAAACUUGAAAAGGAUCUUUCUGAUUCUUGAAGAAUGAGGGACAAAGG
rnacentral:lncRNA from 1 species